rnacentral:rRNA from 1 species
GAUGAACGCUGGCGGCGUGCCUAAUACAUGCAAGUCGAGCGAACAGACGAGGAGCUUGCUCCUCUGACGUUAGCGGCGGACGGGUGAGUAACACGUGGAUAACCUACCUAUAAGACUGGGAUAACUUCGGGAAACCGGAGCUAAUACCGGAUAAUAUAUUGAACCGCAUGGUUCAAUAGUGAAAGACGGUUUUGCUGUCACUUAUAGAUGGAUCCGCGCCGCAUUAGCUAGUUGGUAAGGUAACGGCUUACCAAGGCAACGAUGCGUAGCCGACGUGAGAGGGUGAUCGGCCACACUGGAACUGAGAAACGGACCAGACUCCUACGGGAGGAAGCAGUAGGGAAUCUUCCGCAAUGGGCGAAAGCCUGACGGAGCAACGCCGCGUGAGUGAUGAAGGUCUUCGGAUCGUAAAACUCUGUUAUUAGGGAAGAACAAAUGUGUAAGUAACUAUGCACGUCUUGACGGUACCUAAUCAGAAAGCCACGGCUAACUACGUG